rnacentral:tRNA from 1 species
CGGGGCGUAGCUCAGAUUGGUAGAGCACUAGCAUGGGGGGCUAGGGGUCGCUGGUUCAAGUCCAGUCGCUCCGACCA